CCUGGGGACAUGAAAGCGGGUGGCAGCAGCAUGUCUUGUGCCAAUCAUCUGCCAAGGCCGUAAUAUUGUUGUGUGUGUGUGUGUGUGUGUGUGUGUGUGUGUGUGUGUGUGU